rnacentral:sRNA from 1 species
CGGCCGAAAGCGGAGUGAAAGAGGGAGGCAGGGAGCCGGAGAGCCGGAACCGGAGUCGCAGCGGCGGAGACCCCUGUGCGGUGCGGAGGGGGCGGCGGCCCCGACUCUGACCCGCGCCGGGGGUGGGCCAUGGCGGAGAUCAGCGACCUGGACCGGCAGAUCGAGCAGCUGCGUCGCUGCGAGCUCAUCAAGGAGAGCGAAGUCAAGGCCCUGUGCGCUAAGGCCAGAGAGAUCUUGGUAGAGGAGAGCAACGUGCAGAGGGUGGACUCGCCAGUCACAGUGAGUACCUGCUGUCCCUGCAGAGCCAGGCCUGGUCUUUCAGGCACAUGAAGUUUCCUCUUCAUCUUGGGGGCUCUAUAAGCCCAACCCUAAGCCUCUUUUAUCUGUCCUUUCCCUCACCUUCAACGGAGCACUGCUAAAAGAAGUGGGGGUUGCUGUGCACGUUGGCUCACACCUGUGAUCCCAGCAUUUUGGGAGGGCAAGGUGGGCACAUCACUUGAGGUUAGGAGUUCGAGACCAGCCUGGCCAACAUGGUGAAACCAUUUCUACUAAAAAUACAAAAAUUAGCCACGCGUGGUGGCACGUGCCUGUAAUCCCAGCUACUUGGGAGGCUGAGGCAGGAGAAUCGCUUGAACCCCGGAGGUGGAGAUUGCAGUGAG